AGAAGACUACAGGAUUCCCUUAGUAACGGCGAGUGAAGCGGGAAUAGCUCAAAUUUGAAAUCUCACAGGGUUACCUGUGCGAAUUGUAGUUUAGAGAAGCGUUUUCGGGGGCAGCUUGGGUACAAGUCCUUUGGGAUGAGGCAUCAUAGAGGGUGAGAAUCCCGUUUAUGACCCAAUGCCUGCUCCUAUGUGAUACGCUUUCCAAGAGUCAGGUAGUUUGGGAUUGCUGCCUAAAAUGGGUGGUAAAUACCAUCUAAAGCUAAAUAUUGGCGAGAGACCGAUAGCGAACAAGUACCGUGAGGGAAAGAUGAAAAGAACUUUGAAAAGAGAGUUAAACAGUACGUGAAAUUGCCAAAAGGGAAACGCUUGGGGCCAGUAUUGCUUGCAGGUAAUCAUCUGCAUGAUCCUGAAAAGGUUAGUGCAGUGCACUUGCUUGCAGGCAGGUCAACAUCAGUUUGGUCUGGGGUAAAAAGCCAGAGGAAGGUAGCUUGGGCUUCGGUCUGAGUGUUAUAGCCUCUGGUCAUGCCUUGGACUGGACUGAGGUCUGCAGCGUCAUUUGGAUACCCAAUCGCCUCCUGAACCUUGUUUUUAGACAGCAUGCUGACUAAGGGCAAGGCUAGGGAGCCCGGUUGGUUUAUCACACCAACGCUUAGGAUGUUGACGAAAUGGCUCCAAACGACCCGUCUUGAAACACGGACCAAGGAGUCUAACAUAUAUGCGAGUAUUUGGGUGGCAAACCCUUAUGCGAAAUGAAAGUGAACUUAGGUGGGAUCUUCGGUGCACCAUCGACCGGUCUGGAUUUUUUUGAUAGAUCUGAGUAAGAGCAUAUCUGUUGGGACCCGAAAGAUGGUGAACUAUGCCUGAAUAGGGUGAAGCCAGAGGAAACUCUGGUGGAGGCUCGUAGCGAUUCUGACGUGCAAAUCGAUCGUCAAAUUUGGGUAUAGGGGCGAAAGACUAUC
rnacentral:rRNA from 1 species